rnacentral:rRNA from 1 species
GAUGAACGCUGGCGGCGUGCCUAAUACAUGCAAGUCGAGCGAACAGACGAGGAGCUUGCUCCUCUGACGUUAGCGGCGGACGGGUGAGUAACACGUGGAUAACCUACCUAUAAGACUGGGAUAACUUCGGGAAACCGGAGCUAAUACCGGAUAAUAUAUUGAACCGCAUGGUUCAAUGGUGAAAGACGGUUUUGCUGUCACUUAUAGAUGGAUCCGCGCCGCAUUAGCUAGUUGGUAAGGUAACGGCUUACCAAGGCAACGAUGCGUAGCCGACCUGAGAGGGUGAUCGGCCACACUGGAACUGAGACACGGUCCAGACUCCUACGGGAGGCAGCAGUAGGGAAUCUUCCGCAAUGGGCGAAAGCCUGACGGAGCAACGCCGCGUGAGUGAUGAAGGUCUUCGGAUCGUAAAACUCUGUUAUUAGGGAAGAACAAAUGUGUAAGUACUAUGCACGUCUUGACGGUACCUAAUCAGAAAGCCACGGCUAACUACGUG